rnacentral:rRNA from 1 species
UACAGAGGUCUCAAGCGUUGUUCGGAUUCAUUGGGCGUAAAGGGUGCGUAGGCGGCGCGGUAAGUCGGGUGUGAAAUCUUGGAGCUUAACUCCGAAACUGCAUUCGAUACUGCCGUGCUUGAGGACUGGAGAGGAGACUGGAAUUUACGGUGUAGCGGUGAAAUGCGUAGAUAUCGAUCGGAACACCCAUGGCGAAGGCAGCUCGCUGGCCUGCAACUGACGCUGAGGCGCGAAAGCCGGGGGAGCGAACAGG